AACGAACGCUGGCGGCGUGGAUAAGACAUGCAAGUCGAGCGGAUUUGUCUUGGUAGCAAUAUCAAGGCAGGUCAGUGGCGCAAGGGUGCGUAACACGUGGGCAAUCUGCCCUGGGGUGUGGGAUAGCCCGCCGAAAGGCGGAUUAAUACCGCAUGUGGCUACUCAACGAUUGUUGGGGACGCUAAAGGAGGUGUCAAAGCUUCCGCCCGGAC
rnacentral:rRNA from 1 species